AGUGAACGCUGGCGGUAGGCCUAACACAUGCAAGUCGAACGGCAGCACAGGAGAGCUUGCUCUCUGGGUGGCGAGUGGCGGACGGGUGAGGAAUACAUCGGAAUCUACUCAGUCGUGGGGGAUAACGUAGGGAAACUUACGCUAAUACCGCAUACGACCUACGGGUGAAAGCAGGGGAUCUUCGGACCUUGCGCGAUUGAAUGAGCCGAUGUCGGAUUACCUAGUUGGCGGGGGAAAGGCCCACCAAGGCGGCGAUCCGUAGAUGGUCUGAGAGGAUGAUCGACCACACUGGAACUGAGACACGGUCCAGACUCCUACGGGGGGCAGCCGUGGGGAAUAUUGGACAAUGGGUGCAAGCCUGAUCCAGCAAUACCGCGUGGGUGAAGAAGGCCUUCGGGUUGUAAAGCCCUUUUGUUGGGAAAGAAAUCCAGCUGGCUAAUACCCGGUUGGGAUGACGGUACCCAAAGAAUAAGCACCGGCUAACUUCGUGCCAGCCGCCGUAAGAC
rnacentral:rRNA from 1 species